rnacentral:rRNA from 1 species
AUUGAACGCUGGCGGCAUGCCUUACACAUGCAAGUCGAACGGCAGCACGGGAGCAAUCCUGGUGGCGAGUGGCGAACGGGUGAGUAAUAUAUCGGAACGUGCCCGGUCGUGGGGGAUAACGUAGCGAAAGCUACGCUAAUACCGCAUACGAUCUACGGAUGAAAGCGGGGGAUCGCAAGACCUCGCGCGAUUGGAGCGGCCGAUAUCAGAUUAGGUAGUUGGUGAGGUAAAGGCUCACCAAGCCGACGAUCUGUAGCUGGUCUGAGAGGACGACCAGCCACACUGGGACUGAGACACGGCCCAGACUCCUACGGGAGGCAGCAGUGGGGAAUUUUGGACAAUGGGCGCAAGCCUGAUCCAGCAAUGCCGCGUGCAGGAUGAAGGCCUCGG